ACUCUCUCAGACCGGAAGAUGGUAUCAGAUCUCCUGGAGUUAGAGGAGAUUGCGAAGCACCCAUCACAAGUGUUGGUAAAUGGACUUGAGAUCCUCAGGAAGAGUAGCAAGCUUUUUUAACCACUGAUCCAUCUCUGCACCCUUCCAGGCAGAUCCAUGGAAAGUCCAGACAAAGUCUCCACCUUGAAGCAGUACCAACUUCUGGACUUUGGAAGAAGAUUGAUCUUUUAAGUCAUAUCCAUGCUGAGGUCGACAACACAUGGAUCAAAAGAAAUUCUUGGUCACUCUGCAAAACUGAGAGACAGAACACAUUGUGUUGUUUAAACUGACUAAGUCUGGGGUGUGUGUGUUAUGCAGCUUAAGAUAACAAAAUCUAUGUGUAAUAAAUAGUGCUCUGUUUCAGAUCAA